rnacentral:lncRNA from 1 species
GAUAACAGAGCAUGUCUAAGAACUUCAAUUUCGACGAAACAGAGUGCAAAGGAAAUAACAGGAAGAAAGAGUCCUACGAUGACUCAAGGCUCGGAAUCUCACGAUCCGGCUCUGCUGCAGAACUCAGUCAACUACUGGCUGGGGGGCGCAAAACAGAAAAUUGUGAGUGGACAAACAUAAAUUCAGUUCAGUGUAAACCAACGUAAUAUAAC